UCCUUUUUAUAAGAUGUUCUAGCUUUGUCUCUUGAAGUUUGACCAAGUUUGUAGAACAGUAUACUAAUAUCUAACAGUAUCAAAUAAGUAUACUAUGAAGAUAUAUGCAAUUGAGGAUUUAAUAAAACUAAUUUAGAGUUGUAGAUGUUGGUAUAUUUUUCUAUAAACUUGGUCAAAUUUAAAAAGUUUGAAUUGGAACAAAGCUAGAAC